rnacentral:rRNA from 1 species
UAUUGGUCAAUAGCUUAACGGCUGAACCAGCAACUUGGAGGAAUGUAUAGGGAAAACUGGUAAAAUGUGAUGUACCUAGUAAUAUAAGUAAUUUAUAUGAGAUUAACUAAGUUAAUUAAAAUUCUAAGUAGAUGUUUGAUUAUGACAAUAUCUGUAUAGGUCUUGACCAAGUCACGUGCCAGCAGUCGCGGUAAUACGUGGAAGACAAGUGUUAUUCAUCUUUAUUAGGUUUAAAGGGUACCUAGACUGUUAAUUAAGCAAUAAGAUGUACUAAUUAACUAGAGUUUAAUGUAAGAAGGAUUGAGUACAGUGAGAGUAGAGAUAAAAUUCAUANAUACCACUUGGAACUGGUAACAGCGAAGGCUACCUUCAAUGUAAAAACUGACGUUAAGGGACGAAGG